UCAAGAUGAGAUUUCCCAACUUCGGUUAUAAGAUCCCUCAAAGAUGAUGAGGUUAAUAGGUUCGAGGUGGAAGUACAGUAAUGUAUGGAGCUGACGAAUACUAAUCGAUCGAAGACUUAAUCAAUUUU
rnacentral:rRNA from 1 species